rnacentral:lncRNA from 1 species
AUCCAGAUGGCUUAGGGCACUAGGUGUAGAGACACCCUAACAAGCUUAAUAACUCAAGUUAACUAAGCUUCAAGGCCAAAUUAGUCACUCAGAGUUUAAUCUCAAUCAUCCUCACCUUUUUACGCGAACACUCGCUGCUUGUCAAGCAAGAGGCCCGGUUACUCAGUGAGAAGACUUAAAAUAAACUCAUUAUUUUAUUUUAUUUUAUCUUUUUUUUUCUUUUUUCUUUUUUUUUGAUUAGGGUGUUCAUCACACAUAUAACUUUAAAUUAUUCCGAAGAUUAAAAGUAUUCAUAUUAGUUGCAAGUAUACAUACCCCACUAUUCAUAUGCUUACGUGUAGGUGCUAAAUCAUCUUGUAUCAUGUUAGCAGAAGAUAGGUGGGACGAAAACUCAAGCUAGAACUGCUAUCAUAUUUCUUAACUCAAAGCUAUUGUCAAAGCAAUUUCUAGUUUGUACAGCCAAAAAGAUUAGAGUUUGAGUUAAAAAUUUGAAAUUCUUUUUUUUAAUUUUAAAUUUAUUUUUUUUAAUUGCAUAAAAAAUCAAAAAUAUUCUCAUCACCCCCAUACCUAAAUCUAACAUUGUCCUCAAUGUUGAAGAAAAUUUAAAGCAGUAAUAGGAUAGAGGAGAAAUUACCUGAUAUGGGUGGGUAAAGUGACAAUUUGGGGCCAAAAACCUCCAAACCUGAAUGUUAGUAAUUUAUUGAAACUAUUAUUAUUAUUAUAUUAUAUAUAUAUAU